rnacentral:lncRNA from 1 species
UUAGCAUUUCUCCGGGGAAAUGGUUUGAUACGUCCACGAAUACGUACGUAGGUGUUGCUCAAAGGUGGAAACAAACCGUGGCAUAUUUUUAUUCCGGUAAUAGUACAAACGGAUCGAUUUAUAAGUCAAUAAUUUUAAAUAUUAUUGAGGAAGCUAACAAAAUAGGAUUGCGUGUUCAAGGUAUCGUAUCCAAUAUGGGUGCUCCAAACCAGGCAAUGUGGAAAUCGUUUAACAUUAAUGUUUCUCGAUAUUCGACGGUACAAAAUAAAUAAAAAUCAUUUAUUCAUGAAUCUAUACCAGCCAGUUUGAAAUUACCCGAGCUCAAUUAUGCAGAGUACACAUACGAAAGGAUCAAAAAUGAAUUUCAUAACUGCAAAUAGAUGGCAAGUAUGA